GCCUUAUAACCGUGCUCUCGCCAGUACGGGCCGCUGUAAAUAUUUAAAAGGCUACUCAGAAGAAGGGGAGGCAAGUCGUAACAUGGUAAGUGUACCGGAA
rnacentral:rRNA from 1 species